rnacentral:rRNA from 1 species
AGUGAACGCUGGCGGUAGGCCUAACACAUGCAAGUCGAACGGCAGCACAGUAAGAGCUUGCUCUUACGGGUGGCGAGUGGCGGACGGGUGAGGAAUACAUCGGAAUCUACUUUUUCGUGGGGGAUAACGUAGGGAAACUUACGCUAAUACCGCAUACGACCUACGGGUGAAAGCAGGGGAUCUUCGGACCUUGCGCGAUUGAAUGAGCCGAUGUCGGAUUAGCUAGUUGGCGGGGUAAAGGCCCACCAAGGCGACGAUCCGUAGCUGGUCUGAGAGGAUGCUCAGCCACACUGGAGCUGAGACGCGGUCCAGACUCCGACGGGAGGCAGCAGUGGGGAAUAUUAGACAAUGGGCGCAAGCCUGAUCCAGCCAUACCGCGUGGGUGAAGAAGGCCUUCGGGUUGUAAAGCCCUUUUGUUGGGAAAGAAAAGCAGCAGGUUAAUACCCCGCUGUUCUGACGGUACCCAAAGAAUAAGCACCGGCUAACUUCGU